rnacentral:rRNA from 1 species
GUGGGGAAUCUUAGACAAUGGGCGCAAGCCUGAUCUAGCCAUGCCGCGUGAGCGAUGAAGGCCUUAGGGUUGUAAAGCUCUUUCGUGGGGGAAGAUAAUGACUGUACCCCAAGAAGAAGCCCCGGCUAACUCCGUGCCAGCAGCCGCGGUAAUACGGAGGGGGCUAGCGUUGUUCGGAAUUACUGGGCGUAAAGCGCACGUAGGCGGACUGGAAAGUCAGGGGUGAAAUCCCGGGGCUCAACCCCGGAACUGCCUUUGAAACUCCCAGUCUUGAGUUCGAGAGAGGGGAGUGGAAUUCCGAGUGUAGAGGUGAAAUUCGUAGAUAUUCGGAGGAACACCAGUGGCGAAGGCGGCUCACUGGCUCGAUACUGACGCUGAGGUGCGAAAGCGUGGGGAGCAAACAGGAUUAGAAACCCGAGUAGUCC